UGUAAACAUCCUACACUCAGCUCUAACACACGGAAUGGCUGGGAGGUGGAUGUUUACCUC
rnacentral:pre_miRNA from 1 species